CGGCAAUAGCUCAAAUUUGAAAUCUGGAGUUUUUGAACUUCCGAGUUGUAAUUUGAAGAGGAUGCUUUGGUUGUGGCCCCGGUCUAAGUUCCUUGGAACAGGACGUCACAGAGGGUGAGAAUCCCGUACGUGCCCGGUGGCCGCGCCCGUGUGAAGCUCUUUCGACGAGUCGAGU
rnacentral:rRNA from 1 species